rnacentral:rRNA from 1 species
AGUCACUGACAUUAGAUACCCGUGUAGUCCAGGGUGUAAACGCUGCAGACUUGGUGUUGGAGGCCCUUUGGGGGCAUUCAGUGCCGGAGAGAAGUUGUUAAGUCUGCUACUUGGGGAGUACGUCCGCAAGGAUGAAACUUAAAGGAAUUGGCGGGGAGCACCACAACGGGUGGAGCCUGCGGUUUAAUUGGACUCAACGCCGGAAAUCUCACCGGAUAGGACAGACAUAUGAUAGUCGGGCUGAAGACUCUACUUGAUGAUCUG